UACAGAGGGGGCAAGCGUUGUUCGGAGUUACUGGGCGUAAAGGGUGCGUAGGCGGCCCUGUAAGUAUGGUGUGAAAUCUCCCGGCUUAACUGGGAGGGUGCGCUAUAGACUGCGGGGCUCGAGUGUGGGAGAGGAAAGUGGAAUUCCUGGUGUAGCGGUGAAAUGCGUAGAUAUCAGGAGGAACACCGGUGGUGUAAACGGCUUUCUGGACCAUAACUGACGCUGAGGCACGAAAGCGUGGGUAGCAAACAGG
rnacentral:rRNA from 1 species